UGCAAAUAGAGUCCUUUGUGCAGUGAUUCUUACACAGCAAAAUAAGUGAAGCUCAUCACUACCCUCAAGAGAGAAUCUCUGAAGAUACUCUCUGCUGCAUGCAUUUAAAUUCUUUCUGUCCCCAGUUCUAGGUGGCUCAUCUUGUCCUUUGCUUGGGUAUACAUCCCAUUAUUACUUGUGGUGUUUUAUGCUGUGGGCUAUUUCUACACUAAUUAAUGUUCACAUCAAGGGAUUUCCCUGACAGUUCUCUGGCAAUUUUGCAAGGGUUCUCUUAGCUCUCACUGAUACGUGGUCACGCAUUUUGCACACUUCAGCCAGGCAUGUAAUUUCAAAGAAUCCAUAGAUUCUUGCUGUUAGUGUGCUCAAAUCUGAAAACCAGUGUAACUGAGCAUUUAUGUCAGACCAGUACUACACUGUGCUAAACCUUAUGCCAAGCUCCCACACUGUACUUCUACUUGUAUCACAACAAGAUUAGGUUUUCAGGCUCUCAUUAGAUACUUUGCAACUGAAGUGGAAAUUUUCCACAGGAAAAGAAUCCUCCAAAUCUUUGAAUACACACCGGCCAUCAACUUCUGGAAUUAAUUGCUUCUCUGUGAAGCAGUCUUUGAUGAGUUCAGUGACAACAGUGAAAAAUUUACUGCCACAUCCAGGUGACACUGUUACAUUGAUUUUUUUUAUUAGCUUAAAUAAUACACAAAUGCUGCUUUUUCAAGUGUGUCUCCUAAGAAAACCUUUCAGUAUAGUGCCUCAGAUUUCCUUCAGAUCCUGCUCAUACUAUUUCUUAUUAGAAGUCUAUGGGUAAAGCAGAUCCACCCCUUCACAGAACAGCGUGUAACCCUGGACAUGUUCCCUCUGAACAGGUUAUGUUCAGUGCCAGAUGCUGGUUUAGCUGCAUGAGGAAGAUGCUCUGCCCACAUCCUUUUUUUUCCUCUGCAGUAGAAACUUCUUGCCAGCUCAACCAUUGGGAAAGGGCAAGGAUGUGGCUGGGUGUGCUCUGGUGCUGGUCAGCUCAGAAUCUGGAAGUCACGGUUUGUUUUCAAUAGUAGUAUCAGACUGGCUUCCAGAAGGGUAACGUUUGAACAUUAAGGUUCAAAUGUCAAAUACUCGCAGUGUCUCCCAAAUGCUGAACAACCUUUGCCCACCUCUGUGUGUGUAACUCACCAGGAUGUGCAAAGUUCCCAGUUUGAGGAGUCAGUGAGGCUGAGCAGAGCCAGCCAGGCACAGGGGGCCCAGCAGUCUGCCCUGAACAGAUCAGAAAAUCAAUACAAAUUAUGAAAAUGCAUUUGUGAUGUGGGACAUGAACUGUGGCUGUGAGGACCCUUCUUCCUGGAGGGAAAAAAUCACCUGAUGUGGAGGGUCUGUAACCUCUGUGGGCACCAUGAGGUUUAAACUGGCUCCCGUGGAGAAAAGGCUGUACUUCAGCUGCUUGACAAGCCUGAUUUUUCAAAAACUGAUGAGUCAGGCUGCAAGAAUUGUGAGAUUGCUUCUAAAUAAUGAGUUUGAGAAUCUUUUUCCAUGUCUGCAGUUGUGGGUUGUUUUUUAAUCUUGAGUUUUUGUGUCACUCACUGUUUAGUAUUUCCAAGCCCUGGUCUUUUUUUUUUUUUUUUUAGAAUGGUGAGAACCACCUUUAAAAAUAAAGGAAAUAUUAAACUUGGCUUGUCUUCCAACCUGGCAGAAGUUCCAGCAUCAUGAAAUGAUCAAGAGUGGGCACUGCUGCAUUAAGCGCAGCUUGCUUUUCAGAAAACACAUUUUUUUACAACUUAAAUGUGAAGCAGACGUGGGUCUUUGUUCCGUAGACAUACCAUGCCAUUAAUCCUGUUGACUGCUCUGGUUCAAACAGUUGGCAACAACUUGUUGGCAAUUUUAGUGAGAUGGGUCACAGUAACCAAAUACAAAACAUAACACUCAAAAACUGGACAUCCAAGUAAAAUGUCCCUGAGAUAGAAAUGUGAGCCCCACAAUUAUUUUUGGAUUCUUGCACUGAUCCUUGUAGGGACAGAAUAUUUUUUCCAAACCAAAGUCAAUAAUGAAUGGGAUUCAUACACUUGACCUUGACUCUAUCACCUGUGGUUCUUCCAUCCCUUGCUGUAGGAGUGCUAGAGGGAAGAAGCAAGGGAGAAACUCAAGGAUUUUUUUGAAAUCCUGUAUUAUUUAUCUGUACAGAGAGGCCCUGCAGACUCCCAGUGUAUUAACCAACUUGUUCUCAGACAAGAGCAAAAAGCUAGACGGUGACACUCUGGCUUUGGAAGCUUCUUCCAGACACUAUCUCAGCUGUGCUGUAGUUCUUACGUUGUCACAGCUAAGCGUGGCAUCACUCCCACUGGAGCAGUGUUCAGAGGGUGAACCUGAGACCUCUUCUUGAAAUACAUGUAUCAAGUCAUUCCCCUAAAGCGACAUUGUGAAAUUUUGACUUGUAAGAGGAGUUGUCCUGGGUUGCAGAGCACCCCAGGAUGUCAGCAGGAGAGGAGGUGGGAUGAGUACUUAUUUCUGUGACGUAGCAGGGUUGAUAUUUGUCUCUGUUUGUCCUGAUCCCCCGUACCCAGCAGCAGGCAGCCCGCACCAGCAACCUUGCGCUGUGUUUUUUGUGAUAAAAGUGCCGACUUUGUGAGGACAGAAACUCCGCAGUCGGAAUAUUAAGUUGGGCUUUGCAGAGCAAGUGAGGGGAAAGUAUCGCUGAAGAUACCAUCUUGUGGCAGUAAGAGGCACAGACCAGCAGAGCCGGGCGAUCCGAGCCGUGUGAAGCAAAGCAUCAGCCCCACCGAACAGCUGCUCAGACACUCCUCCCUUGCCACGAACAGGAAAGAAAAAGAUGCAAGCGAGGAGCAAGUCCUGGUGCUGGGCCCCCAUCCCGCUCUGCCCCCGCUGUGUCCUCUCCCGGGAGCUGCGGGAGGGACACACGGCAAAGUCCCAGAUUUCCACUGCACUCACCCCACCCAGCGGCCGCUCCAGGACAUCCCUUGCCCAAAACCCCUUUCCCUGGGAAGGGAUGGCGGGAUCUGAGGGCGGAUCUGGUCCUUACCCUGGGACCUCUCCCAGAUGUGUCCGUGGCCGCUUCUCGCCCGCCUUGCCCACACAUCAGGGAGCUUUGCCCUGUGCCACCAGCACCCUAAAGCCCAGCUGGGCUUGCAGAGCUCCCGGCUGCUCCCACAGCCUGAGACGGGGCACAGAGGCACUGACAGGCAGGAAAUUCCAGCUGGGAUCUGUGUCCUGCAGAGGACCCGCUCAGUUUGCAGUUAAUCACAGAGCGCUUGUUGCAAGAGGUGAUCCUGCUCCUGCUGGGAAGUUGUCCUGGUUCCUUUCCCUCUCAUUUAUAGCAAUGCCAGGAACAGAGAGUUCAGAUUAAAUGAGGCCAUUGUAAAAGUAACUACUUCCUCUCUGUAAAUACAUAACCACUACAUUUAAGGGGGCUGAAGGAAAGUUCCUAGAGAAGCAGGGAAAGUUGAACACUGCAGAGCGGCCGCCUCAACCACUCUGUACAGGCAAAACCUACCGUGCCACGAUCGGGAUCCGUUUUCAUCUCUUGAUUACUCCUCGUGGCUGGCCAGAGAGACCAUUGCUGCAGCAAUACCUGUGUGCCAGAGCUUAUUUCAAGAGCCCUGUAGACAAGGGACAUCAAUUCCAGAUGGACCAAAAGAAACCCCUCCGAAAGUGAACUUUCAUGGACUUAGUGGUACAUGUGAGAAACAACUGGACUGCCAAGAGUUCUCUCUUCUUCUGAACAUUGGUGAGCAGCCAAUAUUUAAGAAAGUGAUGCCUGUACAGAGAAAUCUUUUCCACUGCUAGCAAGCUUCCCUGAGUUGUGACUGUGUUAAAGUUCACAGAGGAGCAGCUUUAGCUGUGCAUGUUCUGGUGACUGGCUGGCCACAGGUGUGUUAACCCAGGAGUACUGAACAGGCACUGCAUGUUCCUGUCUUCAGGCUGAUGAAUGAUCUCUCUCCACCCAGAGCAUGUGAGCACAGGGGCCUGGCUCUGCAAAGAUACUGCAAAUGCAAGGUGCUCCAGAGAUCAGUGAGGAAGAAACCCACUCAGCUCUGCUCCCGCCUGUUCCAGAAGUUCAGAUAACAUCUGCUGGCAAAGGGAGGGACAAAGCAAGGCUUCCUUGAGAUAAAACCUCUAUCUGCAAAGCCGGUUCGGAUGAGAGGUAAAGGCUUCCAAGCCUUUACCCACAGCAACACGUCCGGCUGCAGUGCUCAUGGAAGGACACUUACUU